rnacentral:rRNA from 1 species
UUCCUUGGAUAGUGAAAAACUUUCCUCGGAUAACUGUGGAAAAUCCAGAGCUAAUACGUGCAACUGAGCUCCGACCACUACGCGAGUGGUGGGAAGAGCGCAUUUAUUACAUUCAAAACUGACCGGUGUACUCCUUCGGGAUACGCCGAUCGUCAAAUGAUGACUCCGGAUAACUUAGCCGAGCGCUACGGUCUUCAGUACCGGCGCCGUAUCUUUCAAGUGUCUGCCUUAUCAGCUUUCGAUUGUAGGUUAAACGCCUACAAUGGCUGUAACGGGUAACGGGGAAUCAGGGUUCGAUUCCGGAGAGGGAGCCUGAGAAACGGCUACCACAUCUAAGGAAGGCAGCAGGCACGCAAAUUACCCACUCCCAGCCCGGGGAGGUAGUGACGAAAAAUAACGAUGCGAGACUCUUCCGAGGCCUCGCAAUCGGAAUGAGUCCAUUUUAAAUCCUUGGACGAGGAUCCAUUGGAGGGCAAGUCUGGUGCCAGCAGCCGCGGUAAUUCCAGCUCCAAUAGCGUAUAUUAAAGUUGCUGCGGUUAAAAAGCUCGUAKUUGGACUUUAUACAGCCAUUUCGUGGGUGAGUCGCUCUUCGUACUAACGUCGCGCGCAGUCCCAAKUCGUGCGUGUUUUUCGGGGUCGUUGAGAUCCGGCKUUCCAGUCGCGGGCGGCGCGUUGUCCUAGAGUAUAGCUCGUCCGCGUUUGGUACAAUUAAAAUUUUGUCGGCUCGCUCGGAGUGCUCUUUACCGAGUGUUCCAGGGUGGCUGACACGUUCACUUUGAAAAAAUUAGAGUGCUUAAAGCGGGCUUAUUUACGGCCUGAAUGUCUGUGCAUGGAAUGAAGUAACAGGACCUCGAUUCUGUUGUUUUUGUCGGUUUUAAUGAACCGAGGUAAUGAUUAAAAGGGACAGACGGUGGCAUUAGUAUUGCGGCGCUAGAGGUGAAAUUCUUGGACCGUCGCAAGACUAACUACUGCGAAAGCAUUUGCCGAGAAUGUUUUCAUUAAUCAAGAACGAAAGUUAGAGGAUCGAAGGCGAUCAGAUACCGCCCUAGUUCUAACCCUAAACUAUGCUAA